rnacentral:rRNA from 1 species
AGAGUUUGAUCCUGGCUCAGAACGAACGCUGGCGGCGUGCCUAACACAUGCAAGUCGAACGAGAAAGGGGCUUCGGCCCUGAGUAAAGUGGCGCACGGGUGAGUAACACGUAGGUAACCUGCCUCUAAGAUUGGGAUAACCUGUCGAAAGACGGGCUAAUACCAAAUAAGACCACGGUCUCUUCGGAGACUGAGGUCAAAGGUAGCCUCUAUUUAUAUGCUAUCGGUUAGAGAUGGGCCUGCGUACCAUUAGCUAGUUGGUGGGGUAAGAGCCUACCAAGGCAAAGAUGGUUAGCUGGUCUGAGAGGAUGAUCAGCCACACUGGAACUGAGACACGGUCCAGACUCCUACGGGAGGCAGCAGUGGGGAAUAUUGCGCAAUGGGCGAAAGCCUGACGCAGCAACGCCGCGUGAGUGAUGAAGGCCUUCGGGUCGUAAAGCUCUGUCGGAGGGAACGAAUGCUCCUGAGGUUAAUAGCCUCAAGAAGUGACGGUACCCUCAAAGGAAGCACCGGCUAACUCUGUGCCAGCAGCGGCGGUAAUUC